AUGGGGAAAUCGCAUGGCGGCGGGACAUGCUUUUACAUCAGUGAAAGGUGGUGUACAGAUGUAACUGUGUUAAAGAAGAUGUGCUGUCUCGACCUAGAAGCACUCUUCAUUAACUGUAAACCAUUCUACUCUCUACGGGAGUUUUGCUCGUUUAUUCUUGUGAGUGUUUACAUUCCUCUGCAUGCGGACGUGAGCCUGGCUUUGCAAAAACUCGCUGAUCAGAUCACAGAGACAGAGCAACAACACCCGGACUCUGUUUUAAUCAUUCUCUGGGACUUUAAUAAAGCAAAUCUUUCCCGUGAACUGCCAAAAUACAGACAGCAUAUUACAUGUCCCACCAGAGACAGUAAUAUAUUGGAUCACUGUUACACAGCAAUAAAGGAUGCAAAUCACUCUGUUCCACGGGUAGCUUUGGGGCUCACUGAUCACUGCCUGGUUCAUAUUAUACCAACCAACAGGAAAAAACUAAAAUCUGUUAAACCUGUAGUAAGGACUGUAAAGAGAUGGACCAAUGAAACAGAGUGGGCUUUACAAGCCUGUUUCGACUGUGAUUGGACUGUUUUUGAAGCUGCUACCACCAAUCUGGACGAACUCACAGAGACUGUAACAUCCUAUAUUAGUUUCUAUGAGGAUAUAUGCAUUCCUAACAGGACUUAUUUAACAUUCAACAAUGAUAUGACACCAGCCUGUCUGAAAACCUGUGCUGACCAGCUGGCCCCCAUCUUUUCACAGAUCUUCAACAGAUCUCUUGAGUUGUGUGAAGGCUCUUCCUGCUUCAAACGCUCCACCAUCAUCCCCGUUCCAAAGAAACCCAAGAUAACAGGACUUAACGACUACAGACCUGUGGCUCUAACGUCUGUCAUCAUGAAGUCAUUUGAAAAACUGUUUCUGGUUUAUCUGAAGGACAUCACUGGACCCUUACUGGACCCCCUGCAGUUUGCUUACAGGUCCGUGGAUGAUGCAGUCAACAUGGGACUGCACUUCAUCCUGCAACAUCUGGAUAAAACAGGGACUUAUGUGAGGAUCCUGUUUGUGGACUUUAGUUCGCCUUUCAACACCAUCAUCACCCUCCAGACCAAACUGACCCAGCUCUCUGUUCCUAGCUCUAUCUGUCAGUGGAUCACCAGCUUUCUGACAGAUAGGCAGCAGUUAGUUAGACUGGGGAAAUUCAUGUCAAACAGCCACUCCACCAACAAUGGUGCCCCUCAGGGAUGUGUUCUCUCCCCACUGCUCUUCUCGCUGUACACCAACGACUGCACCUCUAAAGACACCUCUGUUGAGAUCCUGAAGUUCGCAGAUGACACUACAGUCAUCGGUCUCAUCCAGGACGGCGACGAGUCUGCUUACAGACAAGAGGUUGAGCAGCUGGCUGUCUGGUGA
ensembl:lncRNA